rnacentral:rRNA from 1 species
AAGGUGAAACGUUGUUUCGCCUGGAGAGGAGCUCGCGUCCGAUUAGCUAGUUGGUGGGGUAAAAGCUUACCAAGGCGACGAUCGGUAGCUGGUCUGAGAGGAUGAGCAGCCACACUGGAACUGAGACACGGUCCAGACUCCUACGGGAGGCAGCAGUGGGGAAUUUUCCGCAAUGGGCGAAAGCCUGACGGAGCAACGCCGCGUGGGGGAAGAAGGUUUUUGGAUUGUAAACCCCUUUUCUCAAGGAAGAACAAAAUGACGGUACUUGAGGAAUCAGCCUCGGCUAACUCCGUGCCAGCAGCCGCGGUAAUACGGAGGAGGCAAGCGUUAUCCGGAAUUAUUGGGCGUAAAGCGUUCGUAGGCGGCUGUUCAAGUCUGCUGUCAAAGACCGAGGCUCAACCUCGGGUCGGCAGUGGAAACUGGAUAGCUAGAGGUCGGUAGGGGCAGAGGGAAUUCCCAGUGUAGCGGUGAAAUGCGUAGAUAUUGGGAAGAACACCGGUGGCGAAAGCGCUCUGCUGGGCCGAACCUGACGCUGAGGGACGAAAGCUAGGGGAGCGAAUGGG